GCAGGUGACUCACAAGUCUAAGGCCCCAGCUGCCUGGAGAGACGGUCUAGCAGGGUGGUUACCAGCGCACAGCCUGCACUGCGCUUAGAAACCGUGACUUUGGUGAGCUGCCUGGUCUCUGCUUCAGCUUCCUCUUCCCGAACAUGGAAACGAUAAUGGCAGUACCCACAAGAGGGAUCGUGAAGAUCAAAUAAGUCACUACUUGGAGGAGACAGGCCUUCAGUUUCUCUUGCUAAAAUACUUGAAAACAGAAUGACAAAGGAAAAGGGCCCUGGCUUCCUGUCACUCAAAGCAUGGUCUGGAUCCGCAGUAUGGACGUGGCCUUUGAGCUUGGCAGAAAGGCCGAAGCUCAGACUGCAGCCCAGACCUAUGACUCCGAAUCUGCAUUUUAACAAGAUCCCAGCUGAGUCACGGGCAAGUUUAAGGCUGAGAAGAAGUGCUCCAGCGGACUGGUUCUCAGCCCAUUGGAAUCAUAUUUGAAACAUACUGAUGUCUGGAUGCCCUCCCCUUACUCCCCCAAUUUCAUUCUAAUGUCAGGAGUACAAAAUUUUGAAAUCUCCCUGGGAAACGCCCAUGUACAGCCAAGAUGAGGACCACCCAACUAGCCCUCGGUCCAUGGGGAUUUAGGCUGCAAGAGUGGAUGGAAGUUCAAUUUCUUCAGCAAGUGCCAGUCAUGGUGUCCAGGCUGUGAUGGCUCCCACCAUCCCCUUCACUCAAGUCACUAUGUGGAUGGGGCUUGGCUUUUCAGCUGUGGGAAUUUGUAUUUCUUUGAGGUGUGGUCCUUCUCUAUCCAUCCAUUCCUGCCCACUGCUCACGGUACCCAGAGGCUGCUUGGUUGGAGAAAACAUGGCCGGAGAUCUCCAGAUCUUUUCCCAUGAGACCCUUGACCCCUGGUGGAAAAUUCAUACUCUCAUUGGGCUUGUGAGAGUUUUCUAAGUGAGUGGUACUGUGGAGAUGAUGGUUUAUGGCCUGCAGUAAGAACAGGGACUCUCCCUGGGACCUGCCCUCUAUCGUUUUGUGGGAAUGAGAGUCAGGGGGCUGCCAUUUUUUGAAUUUUCCAGAGUAGCUGGCAACUUGCAAUUUUAGGGAAAAAAUCUUCAGGUUUUUAAAAUUUGGCAGCUAAUUACAAAAAUCUAGAAGCUCUGAAGGCCAAAUGAAACAUUUCUGGAGGCCAGAGGUGGCCCAUUGAUCUCUGUUUUAACAGCAGGGAUCCCACAAUCAUGGCAGCUAACUUAGAUGAUGCCACCUUACCUUUGGAACUGGUAAAAGGGGUGAGAUGCUUGGAGUCCUCUAAGUCAUGUGACCAAAGGUGUGUCAUUCAGAUGACUCGUUAGCUCAGUACACCCUCUGCACACCUUCUGCAUGCCUAGACCUAAGCACGGCUGCUUCUGACUCCCCAUCUCAGACCUCUGUCCUCCUAGGGUCGCAGCGCACCUCUCUGCCCGCCUGGGGCCAGACGGCACAGAAGUUGUGCAGAGUAUGUGCAUUUCCCUAGGACCGCAGAACAGAAGGGAGGAGGAGAAGAUUUAUCCUCUUGACUCUUCUCUCUUCCUCUAUUUCUCUCCCCGAAUAACAGUCAGUCCAGCAGUUGACAGAGGUCCUUGUUUUCUGUUGCCACAUCUCUGCUAGUGACCGAAUGUUUCUCCCUCAAUAUUCUCUUUAUACAAGAUGAUGUGACUUGUGUUUGUUGCUAAUAUUAGAAUUGCAACAGAUGCCCUCAUUGUUGGGCCCUGGGUCCAUGUGGAGCAGAUUAAUAAAGCCAAGACAAGGCCUCAAAUGCCCAGGGACUUUAAUAGCAGAACUUGCUGCAGGAGCAAUGGGCUCUCUCAGUGUUGGGCAAGGUGGGGGGGGCAGGCCUUCGAGAGAUCCGGGACCCAAGUCCACAGUCUAAAUGCCAUCGGAAGUGUAGGCAGAGCUCUUGGGGGAUGCGGGCAGGGACACAAAGCAUCAAGAAAGGCAUCUUCAUGUCGAGACAAGCAAUAAUACUGUUUGGUAAAAAUGAUGCCACUUAAUCACCACUGGUGGCAAAAAUUAGGACGUAGGGAAACGAGACAACAAGCCAAGCGAGACAGUUCGAUAGCUACGGCCAAUGUCAUGGUUCUUAUUUCUCCUUUCCAUUUUUCUCAAUAAAGCCCUUUUAGACAAAUCAAAUGAAGGUAAUUACAAACCAUGAACCUCUUGGGUUUUAGCAUGAAUGUGGAAUAGUUUAAUUGUCUUAGUGCAUCUGAUAAGCAGCGGUGUCUUAGAUGUGAUGAAAUUCACUCACCGAAUCUGUUGGCACCUUGAUCUGGGA